rnacentral:rRNA from 1 species
CUUGCUUCUCUUGAGAGCGGCGGACGGGUGAGUAAUGCCUAGGAAUCUGCCUGGUAGUGGGGGAUAACGUUCGGAAACGGACGCUAAUACCGCAUACGUCCUACGGGAGAAAGCAGGGGACCUUCGGGCCUUGCGCUAUCAGAUGAGCCUAGGUCGGAUUAGCUAGUUGGUGGGGUAAUGGCUCACCAAGGCUACGAUCCGUAACUGGUCUGAGAGGAUGAUCAGUCACACUGGAACUGAGACACGGUCCAGACUCCUACGGGAGGCAGCAGUGGGGAAUAUUGGACAAUGGGGGAAAGCCUGAUCCAGGGCAUGCCGCGUGUGUGAAGAAGGUCUUCGGAUUGUAAAGCACUUUAAGUUGGGAGGAAGGGUUGUAGAUUAAUACUCUGCAAUUUUGACGUUACCGACAGAAUAAGCACCGGCUAACUCUGUGCCAGCAGCCGCGGUAAUACAGAGGGUGCAAGCGUUAAUCGGAAUUACUGGGCGUAAAGCGCGCGUAGGUGGUUUGUUAAGUUGGAUGUGAAAUCCCCGGGCUCAACCUGGGAACUGCAUUCAAAACUGACUGACUAGAGUAUGGUAGAGGGUGGUGGAAUUUCCUGUGUAGCGGUGAAAUGCGUAGAUAUAGGAAGGAACACCAGUGGCGAAGCGACCACCUGGACUAAUACUGACACUGAGGUGCGAAAGCGUGGGG